rnacentral:misc_RNA from 1 species
GAUUACAAGGUAGUGGGCAUUUUCCCUGUUUACAAACGUAUGCAGCUGUGUCGUGUUGAGGUCCAUAUAUAUAGUCUAAGAAGUAAUUCUUGGAGACGUAUAAACGACUCUGCUUUGGAUUUUUUGCAUGUUUCGGGCAAGCUUGUGAAUAGAAAACUUUAUUGGCUUCAAACCUGCGGGAAUAUCAGUUCCAUUGACUUGGGUAAUGAGAAAUGGACAGAGAUAGAAAAGCCUUCCAAUUUUAACGAAUAUGGUCAUUUCGUACUAGGAGUGCUUGGAAGUGAUCUUUCUGUGUUGUGUAAUUACAAGAAUUGUCAUGCAGAUGUUUGGAUUAUGAAGGAGUGUGAAGUAAAAGCAUCUUGGAC